UGGGGGAUAUUGCACAAUGGGGGAAACCCUGAUGCAGCGACGCCGCGUGAGGGAAGACGGUCCUCUGGAUUGUAAACCUCUGUCUUCGGGGACGAAAGAAGACGGCACCCGAGGAGGAAGCCACGGCUAACUACGUGCCAGCAGCCGCGGUAAUACGUAGGUGGCAAGCGUUGUCCGGAAUUAUUGGGUUUAAAGGGUGCGCAGGCGGCGCGCCAAGUCAGCGGUCAAAGUUCCGGGCUCAACCCGGUGUCGCCGUUGAAACUGGCGUGCUCGAGUGCGUGCGAGGAAGGCGGAAUGCGUUGUGUAGCGGUGAAAUGCAUAGAUAUGACGCAGAACUCCGAUUGCGAAGGCAGCUUUCCAGCGCGCUACUGACGCUGAGGCACGAAAGCGUGGGGAUCGAACAGGAUUAGAUACCCUGGUAGU
rnacentral:rRNA from 1 species